UGGUGGGUUGCCUUGUCAGGUUGAUUCCGGUAACGAACGAGACCUCAGCCUGCUAAAUAGUCAGUCUCGCACCUGCGGGACGCGGACUUCUUAGAGGGACUAUUGGCGUUCAGCCAAUGGAAGUAUGAGGCGAUAACA
rnacentral:rRNA from 1 species